rnacentral:RNase_P_RNA from 2 species
UUUGGACAAACGCUGCAUAAUAAAAUGUAGAGGAAAGUCCACGCUCGCACUAUCUGCGAUGAUAGUAGUGAUUGUGCUUAGGGAACAAAUAACCUAAGGCAGUAAAUACUGACGGCGGGCUCUAUACCUAAAUAGCAAUACAAGGUAUAACCCAUAAAGUGCCACAGAGACGAGUUAUUUAGAAAUAAAUAAAUGAAACGCGGUAAACCCCACAAGCGAGAAACCCAAAUUACGGUAGGGGAACCCCAAAGGAAGAAGUGAAUUCACUAGGGGAUGGUUAUUAACCAUAGAUAAAUGUUUGUCACCAUUAAGGUACAGAACGUGGCUUAUAA